rnacentral:pre_miRNA from 1 species
GAUAUACUCCCUCCAUUCAGAAUUACUUGUCACAAAAAUGAACGUAUCUACAACUAAAAUACAUCUAGAUACAUUCAUUUCUUGGACGAGUAAUUCCGAACGGAGGGAGUAUAAG